rnacentral:tRNA from 1 species
CGCCGUGUACAUCACGCGGUGGAGCUCGGCGUUGAAGUCGUCGACCGCCUCCACGUUCGACGCGUGCCCGGUGUC